rnacentral:rRNA from 1 species
GUGUCAGCAGCCGCGGUAAUACAGAGGUCUCAAGCGUUGUUCGGAUUCAUUGGGCGUAAAGGGUGCGUAGGCGGCGCGGUAAGUCGGGUGUGAAAUCUCGGAGCUUAACUCCGAAACUGCAUUCGAUACUGCCGUGCUUGAGGACUGGAGAGGAGACUGGAAUUUACGGUGUAGCGGUGAAAUGCGUAGAUAUCGUAAGGAAGACCAGUGGCGAAGGCGGGUCUCUGGACAGUUCCUGACGCUGAGGCACGAAGGUCAGGGGAGCAAACGGGAUUAGAUACCCCCGUAGUCC